AAAUCCUUUAAUGCAGCCCCGAGAGGCUGGCAAAGGAGACGACGGGGGAUUUCUAUAUCCUCAUGAACCUCUUUGCCAUGCUUUCUUGGCAAAGAGGUUUUUUUAU
rfam:Jeotgalibacillus malaysiensis strain D5, complete genome.